CCUGCCUCCAGCACGGCCGGUUCGCCUCCUCCGACCAGCCAGCCCGCCGCCUUGCCCGACACCGCGUGCAUCCCAUCCGCCUCCCCCUGCCAUCCCACCUCCAUCCCGCCUGCAUCCCCUCCUCAAGCCCACCUGCGUGCCUCCGCAAUCAUGGACUCACAGAAUGGGUUGGGUGGGAAGGGACCUUAAAGACCAUCCAGUUCCCACCCCCCUGCCACGGGCAGGGCCCCCUCCCCCCAGCCCAGGCUGCCCCCAGCCCCAUCCAGCCUGGCCUUGAGCACUGCCAGGGAUGGGGCACCCACAGCUGCUCUGGGCAGCCUGGGCCAGCGCCUCGCCGCCCUCACAGGGAAGAAUUUCUGCCUCAUCUCUCAUCUCCAUCUCCCCUCUCUCUUGUAAAGCCAUUCCCCCAUGUCCUGUCACUAUAAGUCCUGCUAAAAAGUCUGUCCUUAUCUUUUUUAUAAGCCCCCUUUAACUACUGGAAGGUGCAACAACAUCUCCCCGGAGCCUUCUCUUUUCCAGGCUGAACCACCCCAACUCUCUCAGCCUGACCCCGCAGGAGAGAUGCUCCAUCCUGUGCACACCCUGCCUGCUUCUCUCCAGCAACCUGUCUCCUCUGUCCCCUGCCCACCCCGCCAGCCUCCUUUGAAGUUUUUCUCUGGAAGUUCAGCAAUUUUUUGCUGUGUUACUGCAUUAACUAACUUUUUUUCCCCCUCAUUUUGGCUGAUUUUCACAGGCAGUAUGUACAGCACAUAAAGGUCAUCUUAAGAGCCAGUUUCAAUCCCUGCUCUAAACCACAACUAUGCUAAAGCUUCUCUUUAAUGAGAAAGACCAUCUGUUUUUGUUUGGGUUUUUUUUAGCCCCUUCCCCUUCCUCAGCCCUCUCUGGGAGAAGGUGGGGAUAAAAUAUAUUCCUCAUCACUCUCAGGAAUGGACAGACCGUUUGGCCUGGAGUAGAAAAUAAUUAAGCAGUGAUCAAAAGUCUACUGACAUCCGGCAACCAGGGGAAAAUCAAAGCUUGGCAAAGGGAGUCACCUGGGAUUGAAAUGACAUUUCAAUUUGAAAAGGGAAUGCUGAGGCCUCCUCUGCAGUAGCUGAGGGCAGUAGGGAUGGUCUGUGGCGCUCGGUGCUGCACAGAGGGAGCAGAAGGGCUUGGUCUGCAGGGGCUGAAGGGAUGCAGUGCUGCUGACCGGCUUCUCUAGACUUUCAGAAGUUUUAGAUGCCUUACAGGAGCGCAGGCUUUGUGGCAGGACACAAGCAGAUGCCGAACAGGAUGCAGUAAAAGCAGAUGAUUAAUCCAUGUUUCUUCCCAGCUUUCCAGCUUUGCUUGUGGUGCCUGGGCAAGGCUGCCUCAGACUCUCCAGCCACCUGAGAGCAUUUCUGCAAGGUAACAAAUGCCUCCCUUGGCAGCUGGUGACAUCCCUCUCUCUUGGUUUUUUUAUGAGCAUUAUGCUUCAUACUUAUUUUUACAUAAGAAUUUGCAUUCUACUUUUUGGAAGGUUUGUUACAUAUUUUUUCUAGAAGAUCAGUGAGUAUACUUUUUCCUCCCCUGCUGCCGUUUAUAUCCAAUCAUUUUUUGGUCACAUUCACAUUUUAAAGAUUGAUUUUGUGUUGGAAGGCUUCCUAGUGAGGUGCUGAAAAAAAAUCAAAGGAAUAUUAUUUAAUACACUUGAAUGUGUGUCCCAGUAUUUAUGCAGUAAAACUGGAGAUGAUCUUGCUGUGGUUAAGUGUAUUUAUGCUUCGAUAUGCUGUAUGCAAAGGCCCUUAGACCAUUGCCUGCCUUUACAUAUAAUUUUUAACCAGCAAAGAGUAAAGUCCCUCACUAUGCUUUAUUUAUGCUUUGGCAAUUAAAAUAACAAUAAAAAAGUAAAUUAAUUACUUGUAACUUGCCUAACCUCCCUCUGACUCACACAGGAUUUCCUCACUACACUCACUGCCGUUUGAUUUUGCAGUUUUCCCUUGCCUAUGAGGUUUUGUUGACAUUAAACACAGGCAACAGAACCCGAUUUUUGCCCUGCUCUCUGUGUGACCCGGCUCUGACGUCCUCAGUCUGCCAGCCAUGUGGGCACAGCAUGCGAUGCUGGGGGGCUGGAGUCAGGACAUGGCUAAUGUUUAUUUUUCUCAGUAACUUGCUGUGGUUGCUUCCUCAUUCCCAAUACCUCCUUAUUUCCAACUAGGUUUUUGCCUAGAAGUUGGAUAUUAGCAAUUUUAAGCCUGUGCAGGCCUAUAAGAUGUGUUUUAGUCUGCCUUGUUACGCGGCAUUCCGGAGCCCAUCCUUUGGGCUAUGCCAAUGUCCUCCACUGUUUGCCCGGGGCAGGGAGCAGCAAACUGUUUUUCUACAUAUAUUUUUCAAGAGCCAAAAGCCUGAAACUUCGCACAGACCGCUGGCCUUUCUUCCCACUUUGUGUUGAAGUUGCCAUCCCUUUGUCAGUCGGUUUGGGCUGAAAAUGCGCUAAUUUUUGAGAUACAUUGUGUUUAUAUAUGAAGCUGAAUGCAACCAGGAAAGUUUCCCCAUUGGAGAUGCUCUCCAAGGAACCUGUAAAUCCUUUGUGUGCCCAAACCAGGUAUGAAACAACCCCCUUUUUUGCUUUUGAGGGAUUUUUUUUUUUUUUUGUAAGUGUAUCAGAGAAGUAAAUGGCAUUUGCUCAGGCCAUAGCAAGCUUCAGACUUUGAAGCAAAAUCCGCCACUAUGAGAAUGAGAUAAGAAAAAUAGCCAGGAGACUUUGGGCGACAUCCUCUUAUUGCUUGUUAAAUCGCUGCUGAGUGACUCAUGGUGUCCCUGCUUCAACAUCAAGCAGCAAACAGUUCCUAAAGAAGCUGCUGCAGGACCCAUACUUCUAAGUUUAAGACAGAAAGUUUCUACGCGUAUUGAUCUUCCACCAAAAAUAUAAAUAAAGAAGCCCUAAAUAAUGCAAGUAUGUUUUUAUCAUCUCCAGGGUUUAAAAUCUCUAUUGCUUACGACAAAGGUGUGAAAUGCAGAUUUAUUUAAUAAGCACAUAGUUUGGCUUAGGAUAGGCGUGAAGCUCUUCUCAACGCCAGUUUUCCUCUUGGCAUCCCUCUUGUCAUGGGGCAUUGAAUCACCUAAUCCACAAAAUAUUGCAGGUGACCUAUCAUGGGACAUUUGUUCAAUAAAUGAAAUAAAUGGAAUGAAAAGAUUGAAUGAAAUGGGAAUGCAUUUCUGGCCCAAGAGACAUUACUUCAAGGGUGCACCUCAGCAUUUAUUAUGUUAAAUUGAGAAGUAACCAGCCUAGAUUGGUCUCUCUUGUCAUUUUAGCUAACAUAGCUAGGUUUUUCAUCUAUGAAACAGAAAAGCAACCUCUCAGUGAUUUUAAAAGGUGCAUCAGAUAUACACCUUGUACCCCGAUUUGCAAACUAAUUGAUUUGAGUGUGAGUUAUAUCUGCAUCUCUAACAGCAAGCUAUUGUUUCUGUGGAUUUUGCAGCUGACUUGCACACCCUCACAGCAGCAGAACAUCUCCUGUGACUCAUCAGUUAGGUUUUGAUGGGGAUAAUAAUGGUUAUUACAGCUGGAUCAGCUGCCCAAGAAAAUAACUUGCCCAAGGCAACAGGUUUGGUCCGUAUCUAACCCAAAAACAGCUGAGCAAGAGGCAGCAGCGCUUGGCUGAGCCAUAAAGGCAUCAGCAGAACUAAACCCCACACCAAGCCUGGAUUUCCAUCCAUUCAGCAAGGCAGGUGGAAAGUGUGUGUGUGGGUGGUGGUGUCUUGGUGUGCUCCAUCCCCUGUGCACCCCUUUUGCCUUAUGUUGCUGAUGCUCUGGGGGAUCCUGUGGCACUCUUGCCCCCAGUUCCUGCAAAUCCUUGCAAAUGUUGUGGUCUGGUUAUGCAAGCUGCAGCACCUGGUGACUCAGCCAAACUCAUGAGGAAGCAGGUGACUUUGCUGGGAGCUGACUCAGGAAUGGGUGACACAAGCAAAAAGCUUCUUCCCACCAUUACUGGGACAAGUUGAAUCCAGGUCUGGGUGAGCAGAGAGAUGGCAAGGGCAGAGCCUGCUGGCCCCAGCUUGGUGUGGAAAGGCAAUGUCAGGGCUACCAUUUGCUUCUGCAAAGCUUAGGUCUCUUUGCACAGCAAAAAAAUUGUUCCUUGGCUCUAACACAAGGCAAAAUCCUUGCCUAAUUUAAACACUAAUAGCAUUUUCCGUAUUUUCUGUUGAAAAGCUCUCCUUGCUUCCCUUGCUUCAUCCAUCUUGUCUUCCUGGGGUGUCUCCUUGACUUCAAGCAAAUGAUCAGCUGUGCUAAGUCUAUGCUGUACCCAAGGAGGUGGCAAAUGGCUCUCAUCCAAAGGCAGAAAUGUCUGUCUACAUGCCUGGCACAUAAGAGAGGCUGAGAGCAAAGCUCAUCCUAUGUUUGGUUUGAGACAGACCUUUGCAGCAUCCUGGUGUGAACAUUGCUGUUCUGCUGUUUGGUGUGGCCAGACCUCUGUUGCCAGCUCUCCCAGCAAUUUUUGGCUGUGGUACUCUUGGGGUCACAGGUAGACUUGUGUGACAAUCUUUCCUCCAUGACUCUGGCAGAUUUUUGAAGAUAUGGGAAAUUUUUCCAUCUACUCUGUCCCUCACCAAGAGGUCUUCUUCCUUAGCUCUUUGGGCUGAGCCAGCUCCCCAGUGCUGUCUCCCCAUCAGUGUGGAGCUGGCUGGGGCAGCUGCUACGGUCCCAGGUAGACCAAGAUGUUCCUCUUGGGGAAAGACCUUACCUCUAGGGCACCUUUCCCACCUGCUUUCCAUAUGACAUGUCAGGCAGCUUCAGACACUUUGGGCCAGAUGCUGUGGCUUCACUUGUGGUACGUGCCUGACUUUGGCCUUGCUUCUAUCAUACCCCAGCCUCCAGGAAAUUCAAGAGCAGCAGCAAGAGCUCCGAUCUCAGCGGCUCUCCCCAGGCACCUGACCUGCUCUUUCCACCACUUGCUGAGCUUGUGCUUUCGAGCUGCCUGGCUGCAAUAUCCAUCUGCCCGUCCUGGAUUGUGACAGAAAGCAGGAACUGACUUUGCCUCCGUGGCCCUCUGUGGUCACCCCCUGCUCAGAUGACAGAUUUGUGUAAGAAAAGCCAAGGAUGGGAACAGCUCUUGUGCUUCAAAAAGAAACCUCCAGCUGACCUCAGAGGAGGAAGCCUACUGGAAAGAAGAAGUGAGAGAAGCCUGGGCACUGACAAACAUCACAAAAAUUUACAUCCAGAGAAUUUUUUUCUGUGAGUGCUGGGCAGAGGGACAGAUAAAGCAAACAUACACCCCCACACCCCCCCUUUUUGUGUCCUUUGCUCUUCUGCAGGAGCAGUGUGCCUUCUGUGGAGAGCAACUUUGACAUCAUGACCUUACAGGGAGAGCUCUGGGCACAGCCUGUUCUGGGGGGGUGUUCAACAGUUUUGCCUUUCUCUGCAGGCUCUGAGGUUGGCCGUGGCCCAGGCAAGAGCCCGAGCAAAGUGCGCAUCUGGGCUUUUGGCUGAUGGGGCUUGUUCCUACACUCACGUGAGUCUUGCCUCCUGAUUCAGGGUUGGGGAAGAUGCUUUCCCAGAGUGGCUGGCCAAGGAAUGGGGCUGUACUUGCCCUUGUCUAUUCGAAGAGACACCCAAGCUCUUAUCUGUGUCACUGGAUUUAUCUCCAUCUCUUGAUCUCUCCUGCUCAUAGCAUGAAACACACAUUGAGGGUGGUGGGGUAGGGUAGGUCAAGAUAUUCUGUAUUGUGUUGGGGGUUGAAAGGUGAUAUAGGGAUGGAGGCUGUCUUGUACAUGCAGAAUUCAGCUUCAGGGGGAUAAAGUUUCUCUGUAGAGCCAUUAUUAGUGUCUGCUUUGCAGAAGGGAAACUGAGGCAUUAAAGGCUCCAUUCCAUAGUGAGCCCAGAUGGAGAAAGCAGAAGUCCUGGCCCAUGGGGAGCCCUGCUGCAACCACUUGGCCAUGCUGCCUGCACUCUUUGCCUGCCUGCAAGACUAGAAGCGUUGCUGGCUCCUGGCAGGAAGAGAAACCUCCCAAGAUCCUCCAGAAAUGAGUGGAUUUUGGUGCUCCAAUGAAAGGUUAUCUCAUCAGGCACCAUGCCAGGCACUCAGUGACGUGUGAGGGUCCAUUGCACGCCAGCCACCCGGGACCCAUUUUCUCCUGGAGAGAUUGAAUCAAGUCCCAGCCCAAUGACACCGCUGGCAGCUGCUCAAGCUGGGAACAGCCUCGUUGCACAGUAUUUAGCAAGUAUUGACCCUCACAGAAACUGAUGGGAGCAUUCAAAGUGCCUGCUGGCAGCUCAACAAAGUGACUGCAGAGCCCUGCUUCAUCGCAGCACAGAAAGAAAAAAACACAUCAGAAACCGAAACGCAAGGGGUGUGUGCAUCAGGAGUGAACAGGAAGCUGAACACCAUAAAAUCUCUACUGCAAAGAGGAUUGAAACUCUGUUGCUGCAAACCCAGUUGCCCAGCAAGAGCCCACGUGCUUGUGGCGCGUGGCAGAAGUCACAUGCGAAGCUUGCUCAACAUCUGCAGCUGCAGAGAUUUGAGUGAGUACCUCCUGACUGGCACGGGCAGGGCUUCCAGCUAGGAAGAUCUUAAAAAGGGUUGCAAAAAAGUGAGGAUUAAAAGGCAACUGCAUAUUGUCCUUUCUCACCGUGGCGGUUUUGGAAAGGUUUUGUGUGUUAUUUUCCUCUGGUGUCUCUGCCACAGGAUAGCGUGGAGGUGUCCAAACUUUUUUAGGUACUUACAAUGCACCAAUCUCACUUUCAUCAGUAAGAAUUCCCAUUUUAGGUUGACUAUCCCUGUAGAUUCAGACGGACAGGACUGAUGGACAAGGGGAGGACAAAUUGCUUCGCAUGAUCUCCUGGGCAGAAGAAAAGUGGCACCGGCUCAUCCUGGAAAUCUCCAGCUGGAGAUGAGGAUUAAGAAGGUUUGGGAGGCAAGCAGGUCUCCAGCACAAGGACAACGAGCCCAGCUGGCCAUGCACAAGGGCACUAAAGACAUUAAAAUUAUCUGCGGAGCAUGAGCAGUUCAACAAAUGGUGAGCAGCCUCCCAGCUUUACACUGGAAUUACCCCGAGGGAGAGGUGAGAGCAUCUUGCAACAGCCACAUCAGGACAGAGGCGGCUGCAGGUUUUCUCCCAUGGCUGAUUUCCAAGGUCGCUCCACCCCUGCUCUGCCUCCCCAAGCACUUUCCAACCAGCUAAAUCAUUCAGAUAAAUAUAGCAGGAGGAAGGCAGCAGGUUUGGCUUGGGAAGAACGGAUGGAGCUGGCUCUGAGACAGCGAGCGUGCUUUGUACUCAUUGCGACAGAGUCACAUGCAUGUAUUGAAACUGAGACCUAAGUGUAAAAUUAUGCUGUUCUGGGACUUUGGACAAGUCUUGAGUUUUUGGAGGGGAAGCUGGCAGCUGGCUUUCUUCCCCAGCUGAUGAGGUAGCGAGUCAGCUAGAUUGAAUUGGGUCAUCUUUAGCUAUGAGGUGGUCUUCUUCACCUCGGGUAAGGGAAGCCGAUGUCCCAACACACAGCCCUUUGCACAGUCCCAUUGGUGUCUCCAGCUGCACCUGUGCAGCAGGGGCCUGGAUAUCUCCCAAGUCUUUGUUGCUGUUCCCCACCCCAGAGCACCACUUGGCUGCAGGAGGUUUCUGGGACAAAGAGCCUCUGGGAUGGGGAAAUAGGUGGUGGUGACUUCUGGCUGCAGCCUCCACUGUGCUGAGGCACCUGGUCACCUGCUGAGGGAUGGACCUCAGCAUCUGAGGGCUGACAAAACACCAUGGGGUCUUCCCAGAGGGGCCUGGCUGCCUGCUCUGAGCUCAGGGAGCAUCUGCAGCCUCUCUGACGACUGGUAGCCAUCAAAUACUGUGUGCUGGCAUUUGCAAGAGCCAUGGGCUCUUGAGACUGGCCCACUAAGGUUUAUGGUGGACACCACCUAUGGUACUCCUCGCAAGGCAGGCAGCUGUCCCACAGGUUGGGCUAUGUCACUUGUGGCCCCAUGUGUGCCCCAAGUGCCUGUAGGUCCCACCUGAGGGGCAAGGGACAGCCCUGAAUCUUUCCAGCAUCUGGCACAGUGAGGUCCUAACCUUGAAUUGGCACCCACCCAAGGCAACAAACACCAAAAAAAGAAGGCAACUUCUCCUGGGAACUGCUGUGUCAGGGCUUGGCCCUCCUAACAUUGUCUCCCCAUGGCUUUGAGCAUCUUCCUUGCUGACGCAGUGCUGAGCUGCACGUCCCAAGGUGAGAAGAGGCUGAAUAAACAAUUGCCCCCACCCCAAAAAGGAUGCUGGCGCCUGCUGGGAAAGCCCAGACUGGUGUUUAUGCCAGAAGACACACAAACAUCUCAGGCAAACAGCCCUGACCUCCUCCUCCUCCCCCCCCAAAAUGAGGCUUUUUCUGCUUAUCUCUGCAUCCCUGGGGUAACCCUUUGUGGAGAUAUUCUGGGAUCCCAGUGCCGUUGCCGUUUCCUUCCAGCACCAUUUCCUUCCAGCACCGUUUCCUUUGGCAUGGGGUCAGCACCACCAUCCUCUCCCGAUGGGGCCCUGCGGGAUGCCCGUGGUCCCCCAGGAUGCCUGGGGCUAUCACUGGGAACACAUUAGCUAGAGAAGUAGGAAGCACUUCAACAGGAGCCAAUGGUCCAGGAGCCAGGGAGGCUGGAGGGUGCUAGGCAAGGAAGAAAAACAGGAAGGUGAUGGCAGAUAAGCAAAAGACCCUGGAAGAGGAAUAUAGAGGAAUAAUGGAGGGUAGGAGGGAAGUGAAGAUCAUGGCUUCUCCUACAGCAGACAUAGUACUGUGAGAGGAAGCUGCUGAAAGAAAAGCAGCCCAGAAAAAUCCUUUUCAUCAUGUUAGGUCUCACCUCACAGCAAGGUGGGAGCUGGGGAUGCUCUAGCAGGUCUGUGUGUGAGGGAGCUGUCACACACCCAUGAGGGCUUAUACCUGGCUGAGAAACUCCAAACACAGCCCUGUGGGAAACUUAAUUAGCAUGUGGUGAAGCCCUGCUAAUUAACCUGUUAGUGGCACGCUUCCCAUCGAGAGGAGACCAUCACUGCCUUGUGCAUAGACAGCCCUAGAGCGGGAGUGUCCUGGGGACAGGACUUGAUGUGAACCCAACACCUUGCUGUCCUGCUGGGAUGAAAUAUAUCAGAGACAGGGGCUUGUGUCCAUGUCCCAGGUCUGCCCUGCCUCAGGGUUUCCUUUGCACGUGUCCUGGUGUUUAAUUUUACUGUGCCAGAACAUAACAACCCGUGUUUUCCGACUGAUUUCUGCAGACACCUCUACUGUCCUGCUGAUCUCUCAGGCUUAUGCUCUUGGUAUGACCCUUGAGCAAAUCUUGCUCACGGCACAUGCAAAUCUUGUCCUUUUGCAUAGUUUCUCCAACACACAGCCUGUCUUCAACACCUGCAUGGAUAAAACCCCAAUCCAGGUGCUUACCAUCUUCCAUCCUGAUCAUGGCUGUAACCAUGAUCUUUGGUGUAACCCUCCGCAAAGCACAGAUGGGUGCAAUGGAAGGAUGCUUAACCAGGUGGCCCUUCAGAAACACUUCUCUACCCACAGGGUCCUGGCAGUAUACCAGGUCUGAGACCUCUUCACUGCAGGAGAGCUUGUUGGGAAUGUACUGAUGGCCAAACUGUGCCCAGGGUUUGUUGAGCUCAGUGCUCCCCGGUCAGUGUUAAAAGCAAGGACCUAGUAAUUUAAAAGUGUAGACAAAGGCACUUAUUUAAUUCCCUCCUUGAUAGGGGGGAUUAUCUGUGUCCUGCCAAGGUAACCUGGCAACAGUGGGGGUCUGGUAGAUGAUAACCCCAGAAAGGAAGAGGUCAAUCCUUAAUCCUUCAGAUACACCAGAGGUUGAAGAGACCUACAGAGUGAUUGUGUUCCCCGUGAUGAUACGGGAGCCAGCACACCAGCCUCCACUGCUGGACAAGGGAUGUGGGCAGAUGAGCCCAAGCAGAAUCAUCUGAGUAACCUGAUCCAGGAGCCACCACUGAUGGUACUGGGAAUGGAAACUAAAAUCCCAGCCUAGAGUGACAACCACAAGCGCAUAGGGAACUGGUGGACUUGGCCAGGACAUGGCUGGUGUCCACCAAAGGCAGAACCAGUUCCUCUAACACCUGGGAAGUGGGACAUGGGCCAAAAGGUAAGAGGUGCAGUAUCUGUGGCCUGAGUCCCUUCAUCUGUGCCACAAGGUCAUCUUCUAUUCCUCUCUUCAUGUUUCCCCUGGGCUCCCCAUCUCUGUGGUUAAGGGUGGGGCAUCAUGUUAGAUGAUGAAGAGCUGGGUAAUGGUAGCCAAACUACCCUGACACUUCCAGGCAUGGCUUGGGCAGCCUUGAGAAGAGGGGACAAAGGAAGAGCUUGGCCAUAAGCUUUCUCUAGAGACAGUCCAUCUCAAUCCACCACUAACAUUAGUGAUACGCUGAAGCAGAGCCUGUGCUUAUGGUACCCUGACAGUCUCCAGCUGGCAUCAGUGGGGCAAGGCUGGACCACAGACAAUUGGUGAAGCCCAGCCAGGUCACAUGGAGAAAAUAAUGAGGGAAGCCCAGGGGCUGUGUGAUCCGUCCCUCAGCAUCCUACUGCUGACCUAGGUGUCUCCAAGUAUGCACUAGAGAUGGGUACCAUGCAUCCUUGUCAGAUGGGUCUAAGGUAGACAUGUGAUCACAUCGUGGCCAUGAUGUGGAGUGUGGGAUGUGAGAAGGUGGUGCCUGAGAUGGGCCAUGACAAGAGAAGACCAUGAUACUAGAUUGCAUCUAGUUAGUGAAAGAAAGGUGGGCUGAGUUGUUCGUGUGUGGGCUGCGUGAAGGAGGAGCCCUUCUUUUCUUUCCAACAUAAAAAGGAGAGAGCGAGUGACAUACAACGCCCUGUCACACUAGCAUUGUGGUCUUUGGCCAAGGAGACCAGACGAGUUUCUGUGGGCCUGAUGAGAAAGCCUUUGGAGGGAAGGACAAGCUCCCUCAUGGCUUGUUAGGUGGUAAGAUGCCAACAAUACAAAAGUCUGGGUAACUCUGCACAUGAAAGUGCAAUGUCCAAAGCUGGGUCAGCUCCAGGACUGCUGUCCAGGAAUUGCUGAGCCCAGGACUAUGCUUGUCUCCUUUGCUGAGCCACCCAAAGGGCAGCAUCACUGGAAGAGUUAAGGAAACAAGUGAGAGCAGAAGCCAGCCCCCAAAGCAUGGUCUACUUGCAGCGGCUUCACUUCCUCCAUACAUAUGCAAAACAUAACCAGACUCCAUCGACAGCACUAUUAUGAACAGCACUGGGUUUGGGAGAGCACUUGGUAACCCACCAGCCUCCAGCUCUGCCACCAGCAGGCUGUGCGACCUUGGUCACAUCACCACAUGCCCUCUCCCUGGCCUGCAAGUCUGGAGAUGAAGAGGGUCACACUAGGUAUUGGUGGCUGGGUGGUCCUCCCCAAAGGGGUGGGGAGGACGUUUUUCUGAAUGGAAAUUCGUUGCUGGAUCCCUGGCUGGGUUGCUUAUCUCUGAUGCUAUUUCAGUCAGCAAGAAACCGCCAAGCAUGUGCCAGACGUGGUGGUGGUAGUGUCAGGAGGAGAGCGGGGGGAUGGGAGAGGGGAGACGGGGCAGCUCCUGUGCUGUCAGACAGCCAUGAGCCCCCAUCAAGGUCUCAGCCAGUGCCAGAGAUAGUGGGGGUCCCCUGGUGUUGGGGCCGACCCCAUGGUGGGCGCAUGGUGGCUGAGCUAAGUGGGAUCAGUGGCAGGGUGCACAUGAAUGCCGAUAAGAACCGGGAAGCGGUAGCCAAACUCCCACAGUCUCUUCAGGCAUGGCUGGGUACCCUGGGACUGGCAGAGGGGGAGGCAGCCUGGGGGCUCCCCAGGAAGACCCUGUGAACAGCUUAGAGCUGCCCUGCUCAUGGGGUCUGCAUGACCACCAGUCAACCCAUCUUCUCCAGGUGGUGAGGGAAACAGAGGGAGAUGGGUUCACCCCCUCCACCACCCCCAAGAAGGGAAGUGUUGGAAGAAGGGUUCGCCGGAGUCAAGAAGACGCUCAAUAUGAGUUAUGCAUCUUGCUCAACUUUAUUAGUUUCUAACACUACUUAUAUAGAACCCAUACACAUGCAUAUUCGUAAAGCAGAAAUAUAAUUGGUUAGUAGUCUCUAAACGCGUGCGGUUCUCACACCCCUAAUUAUCAUGACUAAAAUAAGCGUUCUAUCCAUGUAGCUAAUUGUGUUGCUGUGCUUCAGCCUUGUGGUUUGUUACUCCCUAUUUUCCAGUACCGGUCCCUAUCUUUCUUGGCCCUGCACCUGCUUUCCCAGCAGCUGUAGCUUGUUACAGCCACGGCCUGUUGGCACAACAUAAUUACUUGGUCUCAGGAUUCAAGAAUAGCUCAAGGCUACCUUUCUUGUUAACUUCAGCACAGCAACUUCAGUACAAUUCUGAUUACAGGCCUACUCUAAUACCAGGCCUGGAUUGUGCAGAUCUUCAGAGAUUCUAAAGCCAUGCUUCUGCAGGGAAAUUUCAUUGUAAGAAGUAAAAAUCGCUUUUUAAGACUUUUUUUUUUGGUUGUGGGUUGUUUUUUGGUUGUUUUUGGGUUUGGGGUUUUUUUUUGACAGUCUAUGGAGGAAUUUUCUUGCUGAAUGCUUUUGCUUUUCAAUUUGUGCAAGUUAUAAAAAACCACACAGGGUCACAGGAUGUUUCUGUGGGAGGUUUAAUUCUGCCAGAAAUCACUUUCUUCAGCAUAGCUGUCUCUGACAGCUUGUCCCAAGAUAGCCUUUACUAUUUUAAGUUAUUAUAAAGAUAAUAUUCUAAGAUAUUUUUUAAAAAUCUAAUAAAUGCUUUUUGACACCUUGGGACCACUCCUUCAGCUUUCUCCAAAAGCAGCUGAUCUAGGCUGCCCUGGCUGGAGCAGGGCGUGGAUCAGAGAUCUCCUGAGGUCCCCCUCAGUCUCAGUUACUCCGUGUUUUCAUAAGCUGUUCUGCAGCAAUUCCCUUUGGGAGGGGAGAGAGAGAGUUACCUUUGCCCCCACCCUACAGAUGGGUAAACUGAGGCAGUAAACCUUGCAAAGCUGUUCAGAGGCAGGAGUGGAGACCAGCACUCCACGUGCCCAGUCACAUACUGUAGGAAAAACUCUAUCCUGAAGCUGAAUGAGAGCCAAGCCUUAAAUAGGGUUGUUUCCCACAGCAAGGCUUUGCUGACCUCCCGUUUGCUGGGAUGCUGGCUCAAGCAGGCUCAGCCCAGAAAAAACCCACUGAUUUUUGGGGGUUUCAGCAUUUCUGUCAGUGUCUGGGAGGAGCAUCUGGAACAAGAGACAUUUCUGGACCAUUGCACGCACUCAUCCAGACAGGCAGCACCUCCUUCAAAGUAGACGUUGUUGUAGCUGUUUUGCUCUGUGUGUCUAUUGGCAGUGGGGCUAAAUGAGUCAGAGAUCUGGUUUAGUCCUGGGAUUUUUCAAGGAGGACAAAUCACCAGGGAAGCUUCUUCUCUGUUCCCCCUGUGGCUCGUGCAAAUGAUUUCACUAGCUAAUCAGUACACGGUUGAAUGUUAAUUUGGGAGCUGUAACAUGUCGCUGGGGUCAGCCAGUGAUGCCCUAUGCGAUUUUGGCAAAUGGAUGACACAGGCACUCCCAACUUUCUGUAUCACCACUGCUUAUGGAGGGAAGAGGGAACCCUGGUUGUGCUCAUGCUCAUUUUGCACACUGGGGAGUUGGGUCUGCAGCCUCAUAAGCUCUUGCUGGCUGGUUGCCCGAUCCAAGCCAGGACAGGCCCACAAGGAUGGGUUCCCAAAAGGCUUUGUGGUACAUGGGUGCCUUGGCUUUACCAUCUGUUACAUGGGGUUUUGCCAGCUAAUGGAGGACCUUCCCACAUCCCUCAAAACAAGCAUAUCUGUGUACUCACUGCCCUGUGGGGAAAAGGAAAGAAAAAUGUAAAAUGUCUGCUAAGCACCCAGUCCAUCACUUUUGGUGCCCUACAGACAUCCACUGAUACCUCUUGAGUUCAAAGAACAGUCCCAGACACAGGGAGCAGAGCUGCCAGCUCAGGUAAUGUGACCCUUGGGGACAGUUCACAUAGACAUGUGAGUGUGGCAGGUUGAAAUAUAGAAUCUUUGCAAGGGAAUGGGGUUGCUCUUUUGCUAUACAUGAGAGCCGGCUUCUUCCUGUUCCUGAUGGCAUGUGGUGACUUGUCCCCUGGCACUUGGCCAAUAUAUUCCUGUCUGGUUCCUACCUACUUGGGCUGUUGUGUCUUGGUCCAUGCAAGUUGGCUCAUGCCUCACCUGUGUUAUCUGGCCUAUGACCCCAGCAGUGGGUCCUUCACCUCCAUUACCAUUAGCUCACCUUCCUUCCCUGUUGCAGAUACCACUUCUUCAGAGCAGGUUCUCCUCACUGUGGUGACCUACAAGCUGUGAAGACAGAACAGCAAAGAGGUGGACAAGGAACACCUGGGCAAGGAAACAACUGGAGUUCUCUCUGUUGUCUGCCAGGCCGCCAGCCCUGUGGUCCAGGCUGGACUACUGAUCUGCUGAAUGGCCAGGUUUGGAAGACCUUCUGGGUGUCAAGGGAAACUCUUCACCCCUUCAGUUGCCUGGAUGGUGAAAGGGCAAUCUGACAAUUCUGUUCUCAAGAGCAGCACAGCAUUGAUAUGGAUGCAUUGUGCUCAUGUACAGAUAAGAGAGAAUUAAAAAAAAUCCCAGUCCAAGGCACCUUCUCCUUUCCCACCCUACUAGGAGAUAUUUGUUUGCCUUAUAACACUUUCCUUCACAAACCUCAUUUAUUGGUCUAAGGAUGACCACUGACCUCAUGAAAGUGUAACUGCUGCAGCCAUCCAUGAGAAACCCACUGGUCUCUGUCCUAUGCUCAAGUCACAGAAGGUCUCCACAUGUAUUUUGGCAUUCAGUUUCAUCUCAGGAUGAUCCAGCUGGUGGCUUGGGGGCUGGCAAUGGCUGGUGGGAUGAUUCUGCCUGUCUCUGAAGAGAGAGCUUUUUCAGAGCUUUCACCAUGUGACGCUGGUGAGUGACAGAGCUGUUGUGGGGGCUGAUAACUGGGUUAGCUCCAGUGGAAAAUGCUUCUGCCUAUGCUCAGCAGGACCUUGGGUCAUCCCCCACUGUGUCAGCUCACAAAACACUAAAGACCCUCUUCCAGCCUGUGCUUCACCUACCACAGUCAGCCACCCUCCCGGGGGAUUCUGCUAACGAACUGUGCUUGAAGACUAUCAUCUCCCAGCAGAUAGCAGCUCCCCAAGGAACAGGCAGCCUGGCAGUAACGAUGCUGAAGGUGAAACCUCCCAUUAAUCACAGAAGCACAGCUGCCACCUCCCCACACAAGCAACCAGAAGUAACCACAUCACUGAACAGACAAAACAUGCACAUUUUUCCCCUGUCAUGUGCUCCAGGGUGUUUUCUCUCCCCUGUGCUCAGUGUCAGGAGAUGUCUGGUGCUCAGAUAGGGCUGCCCCCGGACUGUGGACCAUACAUUAAAAGAUUGUGUUGUCAGCCAGUCCCAUCCUUGGAAACACAAGCCUGGGAGACUCCAUAAUGUGCUUAACAGUCAAAUCCACAACUGCCCUCCUUGGGAAGAUAAAUCUAUUCACAUGCCAGCAAGGGGGACCUCAGCUUCACCUCUGCCUUCAGAGGUGGCUCCUUUGGGCAUUUACCUCCCUGUGGUGCUGAGAUAGCAUUACCAAACUUCUCCCCAUGAAGCAAAACCAGGACAGUGUUGGCUUGGGCUUUGCUUCCAAGCAACAGCUUGGCAGGAGGGGUUAUUUAAUUUUUUUUUUCUCAUCCCAGGAACCAUGUUUUAUUUGAGGUGGCUACUUUAAAGAGCUGCUGGGGCCAAGCAGAAAUCCAACACUUGGGAGGAAAGAGGCUAAUGGCAAACUUGGGGUAUGCUUGACUUCCCCACCUUGGAAUAAAUCUAGUGACUUCCAGAGGAAAUGUACAGACCCCUUGAAAUUACACCUGUAUCCUCAAUUCCUUGUCCUGCAGACCUCACUGAGAUAUGUUGCCAUUGCAAGUGCUGCCAACUCCAGACCUGUAUCAGAAGGCUCACCAAGUCUUGUAAAUCUCUAAAGCCUUCCUGUCGUCCAGCUGCAGGUUUGGUUUUGUCCCCACAGCUCCUGUAGCUCCACAAACCUUGCUGUUCCUGGUGCCCCAGGACCGUGGCAUCAGGUCCUCCAGGCUGGGGAUGGAUUGCCAGGCUUGAAGAACCAUGCCCUACUUCUUCUCCCUCUGUCUUCUCCAGAUGAAGACUGAGAAAGCCAGGUUUCAGGUUCUGCUCAACAAAACAGGGCUGUGGGCCAAGACCCUGCCUUCUCAGGGCUUUGUAAAAGUGACCGCUGCAAAAACCCAGUGAGAUGCAAUGCGUAGUUCACAACUGCAGCCACAGAGAUGGGGCCCCAGUUGCCCUGUCCGUGUCUGAUACAGCUGAGCUUUUUGCUGUAUUAAUACAUUUCCUGCUGGCUGGAGCUUCCACCAGUCCUGGGAAGGAUCAGUCUGACACCAGGAAGGGGUCAUACGCCUUGGGGUCUGGCUAGCCCAGCCAACGUCCUUGCAGAAGGUCUCUCCAUAUGUACACCCAUAUGAAUUGAGAUGUGUUUUCAGGAAGAGUGUUUUCGGAUCUUACCCAAGGAAUUUAAUUAGGAGUGUCUCUACUGGGCCAGGAGGCUGUAGGUCUGACACAACUGCUUUGCCAACAUGUUCCUCCAAAACCCCAUUUUUCUUUUCCUUUCAUAGAUGUGGGGAGCAUGGGGUGGGUGAAAGAUGGUGUAUGUGGGUGUUCAUGCCCGUGCACCUCCCCUCCUUCCCCUGUCCUCUUCAUCACCCUCCCCAGCCCCUUCCCCUCUUCUCAGCAAUGAUAAGCUCGAGGAUGGAAAAAAUGUUGUCACACAUAUCUCAUUUCCAGUGUGUGGGAGUGACUGACAGCGGCAUGAAGAUCUGGACAAUAAAACCUCCUGACAGCUUUUGUGUCCAUCCCAGGCAUGGGGACAUGGUCCUGGAGGAAGGGCCGAGUGCUUGUGGGGCUUGGGGAAGGGUGCUGCAAGUGGUGGCCCUGGGGAGGAGGAUGGAGAGGGGAAAGGGCUUGUUCAGCCCUCCUCAUCUGGGGUGCAAAGUCCUUCCCCAAAUUCAGCAUUGUCUCUCAUCCCAAACGAAGAGCCACAAGCUUUUGGCUGCAGGUGGCUUUGCAGGCGUGAUGGGGAGCAGCCUGACAGCUGCUAGCCACAGUGUUUGUUUUGGAGCAUCCCCACCGGCCAGCGCUCCCUCCCUGGGGCUGGGGGGGCUGCACUGCUCCAGCACUGCUGUUCUUCCCUGUAGGGCUGCCAAAAAAGCCCAGAGCACCUCGCCAGAAGGGUGAAGUCAUUUAUUUAUGCCUGGAAAAAAAAAAAAAAGAAAGUACUUUAUUACACAGCCUCUGAGAUGCUAGGGCUGACCUACUGCCAGGCUUUCACUCUAAUGUGGACAGCUGAGGUCAGCACAGGGCAGUCCCAGUGGCUGAGUCUUUUCUUAGUCCCCUUGUAGGGGCAUACAAACAGGACAUCAAUUUACUUAUGGUAAAAAAAAAUAAAAGAAAAAGUGCCAAGGUUUUGCUGGCAGAGGUUCGUUUGACUGACAGAAGUGUGUCCGUGGUGGCAGCUCACCCUGGGCUCCCUUUGCCAUCCGCAGAGAUAAGAAAACCCUUGUAAGACAUAAUUUCUUGCCUUUCCUCUGGCUCUCAAGGGAGAUGUGGAGGCCAAGGAGACAGAAGCCUUUGCUUCGUAGAUGUUCAGAUUGCUUACCCGAUGCAAGGGCUUGGCUCUGCCUGAGAUGAGAGGGGCUCUUCUGAAACAGGGCUUGGGUCUGAGAGUCCCUGACAGUGACUCUGAUUUUAUAGCACUCCGAGUUUUUCAGCAUCUAUUUUCUCACCGUAAUUACAAGUGAGAAGGAUUUUUACAGAAAAUCUGGUUUAUUCUAAGCAAAAAAACCACAACCCAAAACAUUUUAUAAAUUUUCCAACUGGAAAGAGAACCAUUCAUUGUUUACAUUUCUGCCCCAUGCCUUGGGGGCUGUCAUUCCUCUCCCUAAAGUCUCCAUAUUCCUCUAGAGCACUGCUCUCCUAAGUGGGGUAUGAGCAAGAUGAUCCAUUGAAGUGGUGGAAAAAAUAUUCUUUGUAACAUUAAUAAAUAAUAUAAAAUAAAAUAUAUUAAAAGACCACUGCUGUAGGGAACCAUCUCUCUCCUUGGGCUGCAGCAUCCAUGUCCCACAAGGCUUUUCCCUCCCAAGGGCUGUGUUGUAGCAGAUAGGAAGCACAGUUUGUUUUGGGUUUAGCCAAAAAUAUUUCAUACUUUUCUGGUCAAACCACACUUCUGGGGGAGAGAAGAAAAGAG